rnacentral:rRNA from 1 species
AUUGAACGCUGGCGGCAGGCCUAACACAUGCAAGUCGAGCGAGCGGCGGACGGGUGAGUAAUGUAUGGGGAUCUGCCCGAUAGAGGGGGAUAACUACUGGAAAAGGUGGCUAAUACCGCAUAAACUCGGAUGCACCCAUAUGGGAUUAGCUAGUAGGUGGGGUAAAGGCUCACCUAGGCGACGAUCUCUAGCUGGUCUGAGAGGAUGAUCAGCCACACUGGGACUGAGACACGGCCCAGACUCCUACGGGAGGCAGCAGUGGGGAAUAUUGCACAAUGGGCGCAACCCUGACGCAGCCAUGCCGCGUGAAUGAAGAAGGCCUUCGGGUUGUAAAGUUCUUUCGGUAGCGAGGCGUUAACUACAGAAGAAGCACCGGCUAACUCCGUGCCAGCAGCCGCGGUAAUAC